CAGCACGGGAGCAAUCCUGGUGGCGAGUGGCGAACGGGUGAGUAAUAUAUCGGAACGUGCCCAGUCGUGGGGGAUAACGCAGCGAAAGCUGUGCUAAUACCGCAUACGAUCUCUGGAUGAAAGCGGGGGACUCUGCAAAGAGCCUCGCGCGAUUGGAGCGGCCGAUAUCAGAUUAGCUAGUUGGUGGGGUAAAAGCUCACCAAGGCGACGAUCUGUAGCUGGUCUGAGAGGACGACCAGCCACACUGGAACUGAGACACGGUCCAGACUCCUACGGGAGGCAGCAGUGGGGAAUUUUGGACAAUGGGCGCAAGCCUGAUCCAGCAAUGCCGCGUGCAGGAUGAAGGCCUUCGGGUUGUAAACUGCUUUUGUACGGAACGAAAAGGUUCUUUCUAAUAAGGAGAGCCCAUGACGGUACCGUAAGAAUAAGCACCGGCUAACUACGUGCCAGCAGCCGCGGUAAUACGUAGGGUGCGAGCGUUAAUCGGAAUUACUGGGCGUAAAGCGUGCGCAGGCGGUUAUGUAAGACAGAUGUGAAAUCCCCGGGCUCAACCUGGGACCUGCAUUUGUGACUGCAUAGCUAGAGUACGGUAGAGGGGGAUGGAAUUCCGCGUGUAGCAGUGAAAUGCGUAGAUAUGCGGAGGAACACCGAUGGCGAAGGCAAUCCCCUGGACCUGUACUGACGCUCAUGCACGAAAGCGUGGGGAGCAAACAGGAUUAGAUACCCUGGUAGUCCACGCCCUAAACGAUGUCAACUGGUUGUUGGGUCUUCACUGACUCAGUAACGAAGCUAACGCGUGAAGUUGACCGCCUGGGGAGUACGGCCGCAAGGUUGAAACUCAAAGGAAUUGACGGGACCCGCACAAGCGGUGGAUGAUGUGGUUUAAUUCG
rnacentral:rRNA from 1 species